rnacentral:rRNA from 1 species
AUGGAGCAUCCGGCGCCGGCGCCGGAGCCGAUGCUGCUCGACGAGCAGCCCCCCACCGCAGUCGCCUGCGAGAAGAAGCAGCAGGAUGGCGAGGCGCCGUAUGCGGAGGGGAACGACGCCAUGACCGGUCACAUCAUCUCCACCACCAUCGGCGGCAAGAACGGCGAGCCCAAGCAGACGAUUAGCUACAUGGCGGAGCGCGUUGUGGGCACUGGUUCGUUUGGCAUCGUCUUUCAGGCUAAAUGCCUGGAGACCGGGGAGACAGUGGCCAUUAAGAAGGUACUGCAGGACCGACGGUACAAGAAUCGUGAGCUGCAGCUUAUGCGUUCGAUGAUCCAUUCCAAUGUUGUCUCCCUCAAGCACUGCUUCUUCUCAACCACAAGUAGAGAUGAGCUGUUUCUGAACCUUGUCAUGGAGUAUGUCCCGGAGACACUCUACCGCGUGCUUAAGCACUACAGUAAUGCCAAACAGGGGAUGCCACUUAUCUACGUCAAGCUUUACACCUAUCAGCUAUUCAGGGGGCUGGCGUACAUUCAUACUGUUCCAGGAGUCUGUCACAGGGAUGUGAAGCCACAAAAUGUUUUGGUUGAUCCUUUAACACAUCAAGUUAAGAUCUGCGACUUUGGAAGCGCGAAAGUUCUGGUGGCGGGUGAGCCCAAUAUAUCAUACAUAUGCUCACGCUACUACCGUGCUCCGGAGCUUAUAUUUGGUGCGACUGAAUAUACAACAUCGAUAGAUAUAUGGUCAGCUGGUUGUGUUCUUGCAGAACUGCUCCUUGGUCAGCCAUUAUUUCCAGGCGAGAGUGCAGUCGAUCAACUUGUAGAGAUAAUCAAGGUUCUUGGAACGCCAACUCGGGAGGAAAUACGUUGUAUGAACCCGAAUUAUACGGAGUUUAGGUUUCCACAGAUAAAAGCUCAUCCUUGGCACAAGGUUUUCCACAAGAAAAUGCCUCCUGAAGCCAUAGAUCUUGCUUCACGUCUUCUUCAAUAUUCACCAAGCCUCCGUUGCACUGCUCUUGACGCAUGUGCGCAUCCUUUCUUUGAUGAGCUAUGGGAGCCUAACGCGCGCCUGCCAAAUGGACGCCCGUUCCCACCUCUGUUCAACUUCAAGCAUGAACUGGCCAAUGCUUCACAAGACCUCAUCAACAGGCUUGUGCCUGAACAUGUUCGCCGACAAGCUGGUCUUGCUUUCGUGCAUGCGGGGAGCUAA